UAUUACUAAAUUAUUCUUACAAACAAGCUUUUAUAUUUGGCAACUGUAAUAGACAACUCAAAUAAAUCUCUAAAUCAACAUAUGUAGAGGGAAUGUUCAGCUCAUUUUUUGGAUUCAAAGUCUCUAGAGAAAUAUUUCGGACCAUGGACGAUGGAGGGAAGGGGAAAGAAGUGGGCAUUUAAAUAACUUAAAAAGCAAAAUGCAUUUGAGGAUAAAACCUUGGAAAAAAAAACAAAGGUUCUUGUCUCAAGUAGCAAAGGACGUGUUGUCAAUGUUGUUCUUCAAGUUACACCAGCCUAGGCCUUUCUUUUUCUCAAAAUUCCCAUGUCAUGAAAUAAAGAUUUUGAUUAGUACUAAAUACCAUACGAGGCCUAGUACCUUUAACAGAUCAUUUUGGGAGAGCAUGUGUCGGGGAUAUAUUUCACCAAAGGAAUGAGCCGCAAGAAUCAAGAGGAAAAGACAAAAAUGGCUGUGAUACCGUAUGCUUCGACAAUCAAAUCAAUUAUGUAUGUUAUAUUGUGCACUAAAUCUAAUGCACUAUUUUACGCUCUGAAUAUCAGGGGCAGAUAAGAUCAUUGUGCCACUGUAAAGAAUAUCUUUAACUAUUUGCAAAGAAGAAAAAGUGAAAAACACCCGACUCAAAUCCCGGAAAAGGAAAACGCAUAAAAAUGAAAAUGGAAUAAAAGAAAGAGUUUAAGAAAAACAUCAGAAAAACAGUAGCCAUUAACAAAAGCUGAAUAGAAGAAAACAAGAUCCACCUCGAACCUCCCUCGACUCCGAAAUUCGAUGAUCUUUUGCUUGUUGGUGCAGUGAGCAGAGUUAGGAGCUUUUUGUUGCUACAAAUUUAGGUUUCGAUUUGUGAAUGAUAUGAGGGAAGAAGACUCAACUUGGUUCUCAAGAUGGGAGGAUGAGCUGCCAUCCCCAGAAGAGCUGAUGCCUCUAUCCCAAACCCUAAUCACUCCUGAUCUUGCUCUCGCCUUCGACAUUCGAAACCCAAACCUCCACCACCAACAGCAACAGCCCCCGGCAACGCCUCCUCCUCCUUUCUCCGCAGCUCUGCAGCCUCCUUCUCAGCCCACCCCAGCCGAAUUUGCGGCCGAUUCCGGGGACUUGUUGUCCGGGGCUGCUGGAGAUGAGCCCGCGCGCACUCUCAAGCGGCCUCGCCUCGUGUGGACCCCACAGCUUCACAAGAGAUUCGUUGACGCCGUGGCCCAUUUGGGGAUCAAGAACGCUGUCCCCAAGACCAUAAUGCAGUUGAUGAGUGUUGAUGGUUUGACAAGAGAAAACGUUGCUAGUCAUUUGCAGAAGUAUCGCCUUUAUUUGAAGAGAAUGCAAUGCUUAUCUGGUGGCGGUGUCAACGGCGGAGCUGGGGGAGCCGGAUUGGGUGCCACAGCUGAUCCAGCGACUGACCAUUUGUUUGCAAGCUCGCCGAUUCCACCACACUUUCUUCAUCCUGGUAGAGGUAAUUCAGAGCAUUUCUUGCCGUUCGUGCCAGUGCCGGCACUGCAGCAUCACCAUCAUCACCAGCAACAGCAGAUAGUGGGAGCAGCAGUAGGACAUCCGCAUUUGCAGUCUCAGUAUCAUAGGCAAAUGGGGCAUUUUGGGUCAUCUCCAAAUGGGCAAUUUGAGCAUCCCAUCUUAGGCAGGCAGACGCAGCAACCAAUGCAUAGGUUGGGAGGGGCCCCCGUGCCUAAUCGAGUUCCCAGUAGUAAUGUGGAAGAUUUUGAAUCUGCCAAUGAGAAUGGUGGAAGGAAGGUUCUUACUUUAUUUCCUACUGGGGAUGAUUGAUUCAAAACUUUGGUAAUUAUGGACACCAAUUUUCAUCAUUCAACUUUUCUUCUUUAUUUUGAUUAGUCCUUUUCUUCGAGUUUCUUCAUGUAGAGUCUUGGUGGGUGGUCAUUCCUCUUUUUGGCUUUUUUUUUAAGUGAUUCUGAGGCGUGCUGAUAAUUGGCAAUGACCUUCAAUUUAAAUCUGAAUUUUCAUCUCGAGCUGGCAGGGAGUACUUAAAUCUGUUUUUUUUUUUUUUUUUUACUACACUCCACGAGUCAUUAGAGUCGGUUGCUGUGUCAGUUAUUUUAUAAUUUUCUGUUCUGCAGACUUCUACGCCUGUAAUUAAGUUGUCAGUGGCAGUCUGUGUUCUCAGUCAGCUUCUGGUGACGGAUAUUGACUGUGAUGUCACUCUAAGUGACAAUAAGUUCUUAGUUAUCAUGCUUGCAAUUACUUCGGUCUGGUGGUAUUGAGUUAAUCUGGAUUGCUUAGUGGCAAUGGUCAUGGGGAGUCAGAUCCGUUUACUUAAACUUUGGAGUCUGCUUGCCUGGGAGGUCUUUCAACCAUCAAGGUGGUUUUGAGGCAAUAUGACUAAGUUUUGAGCUUGGAGGUUAUAUCUGAGAUUGAAUCUUUGUUUCAUAUUGUAGCUGUGGUGCGAAAUUGCUCUGCUUAUGUUCCAAACGGGUGAGAACAGGAAAAAGGAUCUCAAGUAACUCAACAAUAGCUUUAGCAUUCAACAAAUUAAAUUAAUGAUCCUUUCGAACUUUUAACUGCUGAAAAAUCUACUAAAUUGACUCCAGGAUUAUACAUCAAGUGGCAUCUUGGGGUAUUAGGGUUGUAAAAUCUACAAUUUUCAGAAUUCCAUUGAAGAGAAAUGAUAUUUGAAUUUUAUAGUUUUAAUGUUUUAACAUCUUGGUGGGUUUGACAUUGUC